rnacentral:lncRNA from 1 species
GGGACACAAGGCCUCAUAGUGGACUCAAGGCCAGUAUGAGCUCUGCAGUGCAGGGUUCUGGAUCAUCGUCACUUAGCUUUUGAGCAGUCUUGCUGUUCUCACAAGUCUAACUUCACUCAGCCAUCUCAUCCAUCACCUAUGCACAGCACAAGCAGGACCUGCCUGUCCCUGGAAGCCUUCCUCUUCAUAAGACAGUCUCCAGCCAGUUACCUUGUCAGGAAAAUGGACAUAAAAUACAGAUCUGGGAGGACUGUUUGGAAGAACAAGAAGAUGUUUGCCAAAGUGCAUACCACGAAGCCUAGCCCUUCCUAAGCCAUAACGGCGCCAUUGUUAUGACUUGUAUGGGGUCGUAUGACACCUUUAAAGGAUCAGACUCUAUCUUUUGUAGGCAUGGAUUUAAGUAUGGAGUUCUCCUGUAGGACCUAUUUGUCUCAAUGUCGAUGGUGGAAUGAAUAAGCAUUUGGAUGGAAAUGGGAUAAUAACUUUAGCAAG